GGGGAGGGUCGAAGCAAAGUGACAGCCCUUUUCCCCAACCCAGGAGGCAGAGGGAGAGCAAAUGGAAACCUGUUGAACUCGUCUUUCUGGGAGAGGACGCUAAUUGGCCAAGCAGCCAGUUAUCUGAAGGGGAAAAUGGAAAGAAUUUGAGAGAGGAAGAAGACAGUAGAGCAGUGUCACUGGAGAGCUUAAUUCUAAGAGGACAUCUGAUAUGCGACCCCUGUGAAAGCACCAUUGGAUCACAGUAGGGUCAUAACCCACAGGUUGAGAACCACUGCUUUAAGCGUUCCCUAGAUCAGAAUGUCAAAGAUGCCCUUGGCUGUUUGACCGGAGGUGAAGUGUGGCAGAGGGAAAGCGAGUGGAGAAAUGCAGCAAUCAAAACUGCCGUUAAACACACAGGAGUGUGUGAGCAUCUCACUGGAAACGCUCCAGGAGCCUUGGAAGGCCUCCAACAUUAAACAUCAUCUCCAAGAAGCCAGGGAUUAGCCUUCUCUUGCUCAUGAUUGUAUCCCCUCCAUAUAGCCUGGCACACAACGGUUACUCAAUCAACUUUGGCUGAAAUGCAUGCUUGAAUAAAAAUAGUGUGUGGAUUCUAUCUGCUUCUAUUUAAGGUAGUUUGCUGAUCUGAGAAUCAGCUUUAUCAGCUCCAGUUCAUGGGAAGGGUAACAGGAAACCAAACAGCCACAGCUACAGAAAUUCCCAAUAUAUAUUUAGAACAUAGAAGCUACAGAAAUUCCCAAUGUAUUUAGAAUAUAGAAGACAUGUUUUCUCGUUCUUAUUUUAUAUCUGAAAAAUUUAACCAAUGUGUGCCCAAACAUUUGUUCAAGUACUUUCAGUAAUUUUAUACAUAACAUACCAGGAUGAUUCAACUAGAUUAAAGGUUCUUCAAUUCGUACACUAUUUGGAGGUAUGUUAAUGUAUUUUUAGAUUGUUUCCAGUACACAUUUAAAAGUAACACUCAUAAAUGCUAAGAUGGAGAGCUGAUGUUAAAUAUUAUAUAGCAACAUAGAUCUGGAUCCUUUUAGAAAGAUGUGAACAUUUAGAUUUCGGCAGCCUUUUCUUUUUGUAAGGAUUUUAUUUUUAAAUUGUGUGUGUGUGUGUGUGUGUGUGUGUGUGUGUGUGUGUGUGUGUGUGUGUGUAUGUGUGUGUGUGUGUGUGUGUGUGUGUGUGUGUGUGUGUGUGUGUGUGUGUACAUGACUCCAGUGUCUAUGGACAGCAGAAGAAGGCAUCAGAGUCCCUAGAACUGGAAUUACACGUGGUUGUGAACCACUAGACAUGGGUACUGGGAAUAGACCACCAGUACCUGCAAGAGCAGCAAGUACUCUUAACUACCCAGCCAUUUCCCCCUUUCUUUUUAUUCCAUUUACUUACUGAGAAUUGUGUUUAUUAUAUUUACUUAAAUCACACCUAGUAAUGUAUUUUUGUUUGCUAGUGCACCUUAUUUUUCCUCAUUAUUUCUGCACACCAGAGAAGAGUUUGCAUGGCUGUCUAACAGGUAGGCUAAGACAACACAUUUGAGAGUCAAUUGAAACUCAACAAAACACAAACAUAUGCUGCAGGGAUUUUACAUUUAUUUUUUUAAAAAGAUGUAUUUAAUUUCCUUUUCUGUGUAUGAGUGUUUUGCCUGCAUGGAUAUCUUUGUACCACAUGUGUGCAAUGCCCAAGAAGGACAGAAGAGGUUAUCAGAGCUCCUGGCACUGGAGUUAUAGACAGUCAUGAGCCGCCAUGCAGGUUCUGGAAUUUGAACCCAGGUCCUCUGCAAGAGCAGCCAGUGCUCUUAACUGCUGAGACAUCUCUCCAGCCUAGAGUUUUACAUUUUCAGUCACUCGACUAGCCACUAAAUAAUGGGUGGGAAAAUUUAAGCUAACAUGAAAACUUACAGAAGAAUUAUUGAGACUAUAUUAAUAAGGAAUUGAGUUUUCAUUAGUGACAUGUAAUUACACCAUAUCAGAGCAGCGCAUUGAUAGUAACAGAGCUAAAAGGGGAUAUGUCCUAACUGUGGUCAAAAGUUCUAUAAGUCACCGUACAGUAUAGAACUGAACCUGAGCACAUAGUAAUAUUCAGUAUUUAAUUAGAAAGGCAAAAAACAAUUGUCUGAAUGUCUUAAGAACUGCGACUUAAUAACAUUUCAAUAAUAAGCCUGAUUUCUGGUUUGCUUGUCUAACUCCACUUCCUGAAAAACCUAAGAGCAAGUCAAGAACGAGGAAAUUCCCAGUGUCCAGUUAUCUGCUAUGAAUAUGGAAGAAGACAUGAAAGAUUGGGCUGAGUGGCGGCAAUACUUGUCGUUGUUUUUAUUCAUUUUAUUUCAUUUUUCCCCCUCUCUGAGCGUAUCCCUUCUCUCCACACCCUUCCAAUUCCACCCGGCAGGGUGCCUGGCCUAGGAAGUCUCUGGCCAGUGUUUCUCCACCGAAUGGGGUCGGAGCUCUCCAAGGGCCAUCUGCUGGGUGGCCGGAGGUGGCCUGGGUAGCCUCCUGGAUGGCCAGGGCAGGGUUGUACUUACCCGAGGAACAGAAAGCUGGGGCUGUCAGAGGAGCUGUUUAGGGCCUCGGGAGUGGUCUUCGCGCUACUGGGAGUCUCGAACUUGAACACAUUGUCGCUGGAGGAAAGUCUUUUCUUCCCCAUUGUGCUCUUGGCCUCCAGCACUUCAAGAGGUCAGCUCAGAAGCUCAUCGAUAGAGCUCUCAAAUAAAGUGAAAAUUGUCGUAUUCCAGCAGCAGUCACAGCUCCUGCCGUGCAGGAAGCUCCUACCCUCCUCUGAUCUAGCCCAGGCAAUUUUUUUUUUUCUUAGUUAAUGAGUAACGUAUCGGUAUGACACAGCAUGGUUCUCAUACUACUGACGUUUGCUCUGAAAGAGAAACAAAUGUGUUUGGGGAGUUCAGCUCUCACUUUAUUAAUAUGAACAUUCCUGAGUCUGUGGACUUAGGCAGAAAAACCUAUGGAAAAAUAAACAAUUAAACCAAAACCACGGAGGAGCAGAGCAGGUGACAGGUAGACAUUAAAAACAGGGUGCCCUUGCUAAGCGCCUGAGCCUGCUGGGCAGGGUGAGGAAUGUGGAUGUGCUCUUUCCCCACAUAUACAGGAAAUAAUCCUCAUCAUUACGCCCAGGAUGCUUAAAGCUGUGCAAGCCUUGGUCCUCAGAACCUGAAGGCUUCUGGACUUCUGAUGGAUAUGGAUAAGGCACAGUCAAGCGAGCCCAAGAACUCUGGCUGUACAUUCUGCUGAGUGACAGCUGGCCACAACCUUUAACAAAACCGUAACAGCAAAGACACUUAAGAAGCAAGAGUUUGAGCCUCGUCUCUGUCACUGGCUGACUGGGCAGCUCAAAUGGUCCCCACCCUACUGUGUUUGGUGUCAAUCUCUCUGCCUCAUGAACUUAGACGAUAAGGACAUGGAAGAACAUGUCAUGGGGAUUUGUAACUAAGCAUGAGCCGAUAUACAUUGUACCCAAACCCAGGAAGUCCAGAAAGGACAUUUCUUUGUGUGAUAAUAUUCAACUGCUUGAUGCUCAUGUGAUGGAAAACAUCAGUGUCUUCCCACCAGUGCUUCCACAGUUUGUGCCGAAGGAGCCUGGGCUUCUGUCAUUGGCCAGAGACACUGGGAGAAGUACAGAUUCGGAAUAUGGAAGGGAGCAGAGAUUCCUGGGAAAUCAAACCUUCAGCCUUGGUCACAUUAUCACUCUGCUGAUAACCAGGCAGGGCCGGGUUUGCUGACUGUACCACUGCCUCCAAGCAUACUCUGGGGAUGAGACAAAGUAUGUCUUUCAGUGGAACUUUCCUGGUACAAAGUAGGGUGACCUGAUGAUCUUUGUCUGCCUGGGAUUUUUCUCCUUUUAGGCCUGAAUGUCAUGACUCCUAGGAAUCAAUCGUUGCUGGGAAAACUGACUGGUGGCCACACUAAUGUCCUGCGCUGAGACUCCCAUGGUAUCUUGGACCAAGCUGCCCCUGUGCUUCCUGAUGAGGUGGAGUCUAUGCCUCUCUUUUGUUCCCCUGCCUUGGUAUUUCCAUUGUGUGGGAAAUCACCUUGCAAAGACAUGGCAUAAAAGCUAAGUUAUACUAAAGUGUUGCAUGAUACCGGUCACCAGGUCUCUUAAAGAAUCAGCCACCAGCAAGCUAGUCUCUAUCCUUGUUAGGAAAAGUCUGCUCAGCUCAGAUGUUAACAAGCAACAAAGUUCAGGAUGUUGUUUCUCUCCUGCAGGUAUGGCUUUUAGCCAGAAGCAAUGUUUAACUCAGAAUGAAAUGUCUCCGAGGGAGAAAAUUCUGGUGUCAGUGUGAUGGGCAUAGCUUUUCCUAGGAAGGCUUUCCUAAUAGUCAAUUAACAAAAUAUCUGUCCAUUGGCAAAGCUC